GACGAACGCUGGCGGCGUGCUUAACACAUGCAAGUCGAGCGGUAAGGCCCUUUCGGGGGUACACGAGCGGCGAACGGGUGAGUAACACGUGGGUGACCUGCCCUUAGCUCUGGGAUAAGCCUGGGAAACUGGGUCUAAUACCGGAUAUGACUCCAUGACGCAUGUUGUGGGGUGGAAAGCCUUGUGCGGCUAGGGAUGGGCCUGCGGCCUAUCAGCUUGUUGGUGGGGUGANGGCCUACCAAGGCGACGACGGGUAGCCGGCCUGAGAGGGCGACCGGCCACACUGGGACUGAGACACGGCCCAGACUCCUACGGGAGGCAGCAGUGGGGAAUCUUGCGCAAUGGGCG
rnacentral:rRNA from 1 species